GAUGAACGCUGGCGGCGUGCUUAACACAUGCAAGUCGAACGAAGCACCUUGAUUUCUUCGGAUUGAUUGGUGACUGAGUGGCGGACGGGUGAGUAACGCGUGGGUAACCUGCCUCACACAGGGGGAUAACAGUUAGAAAUGACUGCUAAUACCGCAUAAGACCACAGUACCGCAUGGUACAGUGAUAAAAACUCCGGUGGUGUGAGAUGGACCCGCGUCUGAUUAGCUAGUUGGUGAGGUAACGGCCCACCAAGGCGACGAUCAGUAGCCGACCUGAGAGGGUGACCGGCCACAUUGGGACUGAGACACGGCCCAAACUCCUACGGGAGGCAGCAGUGGGGAAUAUUGCACAAUGGGCGAAAGCCUGAUGCAGCGACGCCGCGUGAAGGAUGAAGUAUUUCGGUAUGUAAACUUCUAUCAGCAGGGAAGAAAAUGACGGUACCUGACUAAGAAGCCCCGGCUAACUACGUGCCAGCCGCCGCCGUAAGAC
rnacentral:rRNA from 1 species